UACGUAGGGGGCAAGCGUUGUCCGGAUUUAUUGGGCGUAAAGAGCGUGUAGGCGGCCAUACAGGUCAGCUGUGAAAACUCGAGGCUCAACCUCGAGACGUCGGUUGAAACCGUUUGGCUAGAGUCCGGAAGAGGAGAGUGGAAUUCCUGGUGUAGCGGUGGAAUGCGCAGAUAUCAGGAGGAACACCGGUGGCGAAGGCGGGUCUCUGGGCAGUAACUGACGCUGAGAAGCGAAAGCGUGGGGAGCGAACAGG
rnacentral:rRNA from 1 species